rfam:Burkholderiales bacterium RIFCSPHIGHO2_12_FTLL_69_20 rifcsphigho2_12_scaffold_904, whole genome shotgun sequence.
GACGUCCGUUGCGUUUCGUGGGCUUUAUAUUUCCUUGAUCCGAUGCUCAUUGAGCCAGGGCUUGGAACAUUGCGAGGCUGGUGUGAUCGUCUCGCGUCAGAUGAACCCGAAGCCUCGCUGACCUCGCCCACCUGAUCUCCCACUUGGGAUCAGGAAUGCGGUUCACGGUUCGCAACGGACACCC